rnacentral:rRNA from 1 species
GACGAACGCUGGCGGCGUGCUUAACACAUGCAAGUCGUACGGUAAGGCCCUUUCGGGGGUCCACGAGUGGCGGACGGGUGCGUAACACGUGGUUAACCUGCCCACAACUUUGGGAUAACGCUAGGUAACUGGUGCUAAUACUGGCUAUGUGCUCCUGCUGCAUGGUGGGGGUUGGAAAGCUCCGGCGGUUGUGGAUGGACUCGCGGCCUAUCAGCUUGUUGGUGGGGUAGUGGCCUACCAAGGCGGCGACGGGUAGCCGGCCUGAGAGGGUGACCGGCCACAUUGGGACGGAGAUACGGCCCAGAAUCCUACGGGAGGCAGCAGUGGGGAAUAUUGCACAAUGGGAGCAAGCCUGAUGCAGCAACGCCGCGUGCGGGAUGACGGCCUUCGGGUUGUAAACCGAUUUCAGCAGGGACGAAGCUUUUUGUGACGGUACCUGAAGAAGAAGCACCGGCUAACUACGUG